rnacentral:rRNA from 1 species
UACGAAGGGAGCUAGCGUUGUUCGGAAUCACUGGGCGUAAAGCGCACGUAGGCGGAUGUGUCAGUCAGGGGUGAAAUCCCGGAGCUCAACUUCGGAACUGCCUUUGAUACAGCACGUCUUGAGUCCGGAAGAGGUGGGUGGAAUUCCUAGUGUAGAGGUGAAAUUCGUAGAUAUUAGGAAGAACACCGGUGGCGAAGGCGGCCCACUGGUCCGGUACUGACGCUGAGGUGCGAAAGCGUGGGGAGUAAACAGG